GGGAACCGUGAAGCUGAUGACGAGCGGCGGACGGCUGAGUAACGCGUGAGAACAUACCCCAAAGUGAGGGAUAACUAGUCGGAAGAUUAGCUAAUACCGCAUGUGAUCUUUGGAUUAAAGCAUUUAUGCGCUUUGGGAAUGGCUUGCGUACGAUUAGAUAGUUGGUGAGGUAAAGGCUCACCAAGUCGACGAUCGUUAGAUGGUUUGAGAGGAUGAUCAUCCAGACUGGGACUGAGACACGGCCCAGACUCCUACGGGAGGCAGCAGUAGGGAAUCUUUCACAAUGGGCGAAAGCCUGAUGGAGCAAUGCCGCGUGC
rnacentral:rRNA from 1 species